rnacentral:rRNA from 1 species
CGGACGGGUGAGUAAUGCUUGGGAAUCUGGCUUAUGGAGGGGGAUAACGACGGGAAACUGUCGCUAAUACCGCGUAAUAUCUUCGGAUUAAAGGGUGGGACUUUCGGGCCACCUGCCAUAAGAUGAGCCCAAGUGGGAUUAGGUAGUUGGUGGGGUAAAGGCCUACCAAGCCGACGAUCUCUAGCUGGUCUGAGAGGAUGACCAGCCACACUGGAACUGAGACACGGUCCAGACUCCUACGGGAGGCAGCAGUGGGGAAUAUUGCACAAUGGGGGGAACCCUGAUGCAGCCAUGCCGCGUGAAUGAAGAAGGCCUUCGGGUUGUAAAGUUCUUUCGGUGAUGAGGAAGGCGGUUGUUUUAAUAGAACAAUCGAUUGACGUUAGUCACAGAAGAAGCACCGGCUAACUCCGUGCCAGCAGCCGCGGUAAUACGGAGGGUGCGAGCGUUAAUCGGAAUGACUGGGCGUAAAGGGCACGCAGGCGGUGACUUAAGUGAGAUGUGAAAGCCCCGAGCUUAACUUGGGAAUUGCAUUUCAUACUGGGUCGCUAGAGUAUUUUAGGGAGGGGUAGAAUUCCACGUGUAGCGGUGAAAUGCGUAGAGAUGUGGAGGAAUACCGAAGGCGAAGGCAGCCCCUUGGGGAUAUACUGACGCUCAUGUGCGAAAGCGU